GGUGUGUCAAGAAACAUGUUGAUUCUUUGCUAGAUUAGGCUCCCGUGUCUUCCAAUACGCCUUACUCUUGCCCUGGAAGCCAUAGUUCCACAAGAAUGUUUCAUGUGGUAUUACAUGAAUUGCUAACCAAAAUUUUUUGAAGGCCUUUUACCCAAAAAUAUAGUUUGAUGAUCUUAACUACUCUUUCUUUUGUUAGAUAUUUAGAGAGAUCUAAUAUUCACUCACUCCAAUUACACCGAUAUUGUCCAAAAUUAACCACAUAUUGCUAAGUAUUGAGUUUUAUUAUAAAAAAUCUCGAUGUUAUUAAGUUAGACAUGGGACUUAUAUUCAAGGUGUUCAAAUAACUCUUCGUAUAUCAUCACUUUUAAGGCAAUAAGUAUGCAUGUGAGAGAACAUGAAUAUUUGCUUAAUUAUUUAGGAAGAGAAAUAAACCGAGUUAAAAUACUCCCAAAAUGGAUUGGUAUGGUUUGGUUAUCAUAUUAAUUUGAGGCCUAAACUGAGCCAAACUAAACACUGAUUUUAAUUUGGUUCAGUUGCGAUUCGUUUUACUUCAAACAAAACCUCAAUGUCCUCUAGUGACUUGUUUAGUAAUAAGUUACACAUGGUAUGUAUCUGAAAAUCGUAUUCGCAAAAUUUAAAUAUGAUAUCGUUUAAUCUUUUUAUAUAUGUUAUGAUUAAAAUUUUGUACAAAUGAUAAUGUAGAGAAAUAAAGAAUUUCAAUUAUGAUAAUGUGUAUGACAAAAAGGGGUUCAGAUAAGACAGAUGCAACGAAAAUAUUAUCCUAUCAUAUCAUAGGGCUGGUAUCCGAGCACAGACGUACAAAUAAUAAAGUGGCGGUGCACAAGCGUAUAACAUAGUUUAGGCUUCUAUUAUUUUACCCCCAUUUUGGCUUUUCUAGUUGUGGACUGGACCUCCCUUGUCUAUAUACCAUUAGCUUCAUGAUUAAUCAUAAAUCAUUAUUAUGGUAACCGAUCUAUGACAUCAUUUUUUUUACAUAACUUUUUAUAAAAAAAAUGUGGAGUUUAUUUUGUAAUAUAUUUUAAUGAUCUGAACCGUCUAUCUUUUAGAACUUUUCUAAAAAAUUAUGUAUACCUAAAAUCACUCAAACUAAAAUCAUAUGACUAUUAAUUAAGAGUUCAGUUUCUUUGUACAAGUGUAUUCAUUUUUUUUCUUCAUUACAAAUAAAUGUCUAAGUGGUUUUGGAUUUGUAUAAUUUUUUGCAAGGAAAAUUUAUAAAUGAUGUUUAAAAAAAUAUAAAGUUUGGAUCAUUAAGAUACAUUACUGAAUGAACCUGUUGACCCUAAACACUACCAACGUGGCGCGCAGGCCAAGUAAUCUAUAAGCUAACUACGUCCUUUGGUGAAUGCGGGGCGUGCCAACUCGU
rnacentral:lncRNA from 1 species